rnacentral:rRNA from 1 species
AGUGAACGCUGGCGGUAGGCCUAACACAUGCAAGUCGAACGGCAGCACAGUAAGAGCUUGCUCUUACGGGUGGCGAGUGGCGGACGGGUGAGGAAUACAUCGGAAUCUACUUUUUCGUGGGGGAUAACGUAGGGAAACUUACGCUAAUACCGCAUACGACCUACGGGUGAAGGCAGGGGAUCUUCGGACCUUGCGCGAUUGAAUGAGCCGAUGUCGGAUUAGCUAGUUGGCGGGGUAAAGGCCCACCAAGGCGACGAUCCGUAGCUGGUCUGAGAGGAUGAUCAGCCACACUGGAACUGAGACACGGUCCAGACUCCUACGGGAGGCAGCAGUGGGGAAUAUUGGACAAUGGGCGCAAGCCUGAUCCAGCCAUACCGCGUGGGUGAAGAAGGCCUUCGGGUUGUAAAGCCCUUUUGUUGGGAAAGAUAAGCAGCAGGUUAAUACCCCGCUGUUCUGACGGUACCCAAAGAAUAAGCACCGGCUAACUUCGUG